rnacentral:rRNA from 1 species
UGGGGAAUAUUGCACAAUGGGCGAAAGCAUGAUGCAGCGACGCCGCGUGAGGGAUGACGGCAUUCGGGUUGUAAACCUCUUUCAGUAGGGACGAAGCGCAAGUGACGGUACCUGCAGAAGAAGCACCGGCUAACUACGUGCCAGCAGCCGCGGUAAUACGUAGGGUGCGAGCGUUGUCCGGAAUUACUGGGCGUAAAGAGCUCGUAGGCGGUUUGUCACGUCGUCUGUGAAAUCCUAGGGCUUAACCCUGGACGUGCAGGCGAUACGGGCUGACUUGAGUACUACAGGGGAGACUGGAAUUUCUGGUGUAGCGGUGGAAUGCACAGAUAUCAGGAAGAACACCGAUGGCGAAGGCAGGUCUCUGGGUAGUAACUGACGCUGAGGAGCGAAAGCAUGGGUAGCGAACAGG